rnacentral:rRNA from 1 species
UACGUAGGGGGCAAGCGUUAUCCGGAUUUACUGGGUGUAAAGGGAGCGCAGACGGCAGUGCAAGUCUGGAGUGAAAGCCCGGGGCUCAACUCCGGGACUGCUUUUGAAACUGUGUGACUGGAGAGCAGGAGAGGGCGGUGGAACUCCAUGUGUAGCGGUAAAAUGCGUAGAUAUAUGGAAGAACACCAGUGGCGAAGGCGGCCGCCUGGCCUGUUGCUGACGCUGAGGCACGAAAGCGUGGGGAGCAAAUAGG